CAGGUAACAUGGACACUGGUAACACAGCAGUCAGUCAGGUAGGUAACAUGGACACUGGUAACACAGCAGUCAGUCAGUCAGUCAGGCAGGUAACAUGGAC